rnacentral:rRNA from 1 species
UACGGGGGGGGCAAGCGUUGUUCGGAAUUACUGGGCGUAAAGGGCUCGUAGGUGGCCAACUAAGUCAGACGUGAAAUCCCUCAGCUUAACUGGGGAACUGCGUCUGAUACUGGAUGGCUUGAGAUUGGGAGAGGGAUGCGGAAUUCCAGGUGUAGCGGUGAAAUGCGCAGAUAUCAGGAGGAACACCGGUGGCGAAGGCGGGUCUCUGGGCCGUAACUGACGCUGAGGAGCGAAAGCGUGGGGAGCGAACAGG